rnacentral:rRNA from 1 species
UACGUAGGGGCCUAGCGUUGUCCGGAUUUAUUGGGCGUAAAGAGCGUGUAGGCGGCUAGAUAGGUCCGUUGUGAAAACUCGAGGCUCAACCUCGAGACGCCGGUGGAAACCAUCUAGCUAGAGUCCGGAAGAGGAGAGUGGAAUUCCUGGUGUAGCGGUGAAAUGCGCAGAUAUCAGGAAGAACACCCGUGGCGAAGGCGGCUCUCUGGGACGUGACUGACGCUGAGACGCGAAAGCGUGGGGAGCGAACAGG